GGUAACAUAAUCAUUUGCCUUUUAAUUGGUGGCUAGAAUGAAAGGAUAAACGAGAAUCUAACUGUCUCUCUUUAAUAAAUAAAAAUUAGUUUUUAGGUGAAGAAACCUAAAUAUCAAUUAAAGACAAGAAGACCCUGUAGAGCCUAAUCUUAAGUUAUUAAUAUUUAUAAUAAUAAGAGAUUUAGUUGGGGCGACUAAGGUUCACCCACACAAACCUUUAUAUUAACUAGGCUGCCUCGCCUCAAUAAUGACCCAAUAUUUGAUCAUCGGAACAGGCUACCUCAGGGAUAACAGACUAAUUUCUUUUAAAAGUCCAAAUUAACAAAGAAGAUUGGCACCUCGAUGUUGGCUUAGGGGCCCGAGGGGCGCAGCAGCCCCUUCAAGGUAGGUUUGUUCAACCUUUAAACCCCUACGUGAUC
rnacentral:rRNA from 1 species